rnacentral:rRNA from 1 species
GCGAACGCUGGCGGCAGGCCUAACACAUGCAAGUCGAACGGAUCCUUCGGGAUUAGUGGCGGACGGGUGAGUAACACGUGGGAACGUGCCCUUUGGUUCGGAACAACUCAGGGAAACUUGAGCUAAUACCGGAUGCGCCCUUCGGGGGAAAGAUUUAUCGCCAUUGGAGCGGCCCGCGUCUGAUUAGCUAGUUGGUGAGGUAACGGCCCACCAAGGCGACGAUCAGUAGCUGGUCUGAGAGGAUGAUCAGCCACACUGGGACUGAGACACGGCCCAGACUCCUACGGGAGGCAGCAGUGGGGAAUCUUGCGCAAUGGGCGAAAGCCUGACGCAGCCAUGCCGCGUGAAUGAUGAAGGUCUUAGGAUUGUAAAAUUCUUUCAGCGGGGACGAUAAUGACGGUACCCGCAGAAGAAGCUCCGGCUAACUUCGUG